rnacentral:rRNA from 1 species
GAUCAUUAUCGUAUAACCGAGGUGCGAGGGCUGUCGCUGACCUUUGGGUCGUGCACGCCCGAGUGCUCUCACAUACAUCCAUCUCACCCAUUUGUGCAUCAUCGCGUGGGCCCCGCUCUUCGAAGGGGGGCUCGCGUUUUCAUACAAACACCCCUUUUUAAUGCAGUGUAGAAUGUUCAUUUGCGAUGACUCGCAAUAAAUACAACUUUCAACAACGGAUCUCUUGGCUCUCGCAUCGAUGAAGAACGCAGCGAAAUGCGAUACGUAAUGUGAAUUGCAGAAUUCAGUGAAUCAUCGAAUCUUUGAACGCACCUUGCGCCCCUUGGCAUUCCGAGGGGCACACCUGUUUGAGUGUCGUGACAUUCUCAAAGAACCAUUCUUGGUCCUUGUGAUCGAGAAAGGCUUUUUGGACUUUGGAGGUUAUUGCUGGUUUUCCCAGCUCCUCCUAAAUGAAUUAGCGGGGACCACUUUGCUGACCCUGGACGUGAUAAGAUGUUUCUGCGUCUUGGGUUUUCGCUCUGUCCUUUGGAGACCUGCUUCUAACCGUCUUGUCAAAAGACAACGUUCGAGCCUUCAUUGAAGGCUUGACCCAUGACCCUUGACCUCAAAUCAGGUGAGACUACCCGCUGAACUUAAGCAUAUC